AUUGAACGCUGGCGGCAGGCCUAACACAUGCAAGUCGAACGGUAGCACAGAGAGCUUGCUCUCGGGUGACGAGUGGCGGACGGGUGAGUAAUGUCUGGGAAACUGCCCGAUGGAGGGGGAUAACUACUGGAAACGGUAGCUAGUACCGCAUAACGUCGCAAGACCAAAGAGGGGGACCUUCGGGCCUCUUGCACUCAGAUGUGCCCAGAUGGGAUUAGCUAGUAGGUGGGGUAACGGCUCACCUAGGCGACGAUCCCUAGCUGGUCUGAGAGGAUGACCAGCCACACUGGAACUGAGACACGGUCCAGACUCCUACGGGAGGCAGCAGUGGGGAAUAUUGCACAAUGGGCGCAAGCCUGAUGCAGCCAUGCCGCGUGUAUGAAGAAGGCCUUCGGGUUGUAAAGUACUUUCAGCGGGGAGGAAGGCGAUAAGGUUAAUAACCUUGUCGAUUGACGUUACCCGCAGAAGAAGCACCGGCUAACUCCGUGCCAGCCGCCGCCGUAA
rnacentral:rRNA from 1 species